GACGAACGCUGGCGGCGUGCUUAACACAUGCAAGUCGAACGGAAAGGCCCUGCUUGCAGGGUACUCGAGUGGCGAACGGGUGAGUAACACGUGGGUGAUCUGCCCUGCACUUCGGGAUAAGCCUGGGAAACUGGGUCUAAUACCGGAUAGGAGCCAUUUUUAGUGUGAUGGUUGGAAAGUUUUUUCGGUGUAGGAUGAGCUCGCGGCCUAUCAGCUUGUUGGUGGGGUAAUGGCCUACCAAGGCGGCGACGGGUAGCCGGCCUGAGAGGGUGGACGGCCAGAGGGGGAGGGAAAGGCGGCAUGGACUCCUGCGGGGGGCGGCGGCGGGGAGUGGGGAAAAAUGGGCUUAGGCUUGAUGCAGCGCGGCGCGGGGGGGGAGGACGGCCUUGGGGUUGAAAACUUCUUACGCUGGGGACGACGCUUUUUGGGAGGGUCCCUAAAGAGAAGGCCCCGCCGACCUCCGUC
rnacentral:rRNA from 1 species